UCCCGUGUAGCUCCGUUGGUAGAGCGUGGCUCUUGCAUUGCCAGCGUUUGUCGGUUCAAUUCCCAUGUCGGUCU